rnacentral:lncRNA from 1 species
AAAUCUACCCAACCUAUGGACAGACCCUCUUCAGCUGGGUUCCCACAGGUCUCAAAGAAGAAAGAAUACAGCAUACUCUAUACCAGCAGGUCACCCAAGGCCUCCUGUCCUGGAGCCCCUGACCAGGUUGUUCCUGGGAUGCUAGCAGCGUGAAGGGAGUGGGCAAAUAUGUAGGCAAGGACACCAGGCUGGUCAGCUGAGGGCUCAGGCCCAUCCUGCAAUUGGGGUACAGCGGAUGCAGGAAAACGUGAAUGUAGAAACAAGCAACACAAGGGAGAGCUGCAGAGUCGGGGCCCAGCAUUGUAAGGAACAAGGACCUUCAUGUGCACCAAGAAGACCAGGGGAAGAGGCCUUGCCCACCGGGAGAGUCCUGGGGCCUUGGCAGCAGGUUGAGAAGGGACUGGCACUGCCAGGUACAGGUUUGGCUGAGGCUGGCCUUGGUUUUGGAAGAAGAGUAUUGGGUUGGGGGUAGGGCUCGGGUGGUAAAAGAGCUACCCACAGGUGUAGCUAGGCUCAUACACAGGACUCUGCCUGGAGGGCAGGUAAGCCAGUUACACCCAGCCCAUCUAUGUCCUUGGUAUAAAAUAAUACACAUAUAAAAAUAAUACUCCAUGCAUUUGGGUUGGGCCCAUUACAGGUGCGGCGCCCCCUCUGACUCUGGUGAAGUGUGUUGGCUGGUAUAGCUGUCCUCGGCCCUCCUGAUCUUGCUCAUGAGCUUCUCCAGUUCUGACCCCCCUGCUGUUUCCUGUUUUUCCAGUGACCCCAGGUGCAAGUGCCUAGGAAGGAACUCAGAAGCAGGCAGGAGCUGCUCACCUCCAGGAAGGCCUUCUGAACCGUGAGCUGGCUGUACACGCGACUGCCCUCUUCCCCGCACACUUUUUUCAGUUCCUCCUUGUUGAGGGAGAAGAGCUGGGGUCCAGUUAAGAUGCCCAGGUUCUCCACGAUCCUAGGGGCAGGUGGGUGUGAGGGCGGGGCCGUGGGCGGGACACUGUCCUCCAGGCUCCGCCCCACCGGCUGUACACACGGGACUCACCUGGCACUGAAGGCCUUGGCUUCCAGCCAGGCGCGGACCUCAUCCGGACCUGACUCGAAGGUAAGCGGCAGGUGCACUGGCUGGCUGCGCUCCACGCGGAAGUUGCGCUGCGGCUGUGUCUUGAUGUGGCUGAUCUUUUUCAUGAGCUCGUCAUUGACCUCGUCCAUGUGGUGGAUUAGCUCUGUGGGGCGCACGCUCUCAGCCCCUUCACUCGACCCGUUCUCUGCCUCUUCCCCACCCUCCGCAUCCUAUCAGCGCCCUCCCCUGCCCCUCCCUACACUUCUAACCCCAAAGUGGAUCUACUUACCUUCUUUGUUCCCUGCGAAAAUUGGGGGCAGUUUGUGGGUGGGGCUGGCUGGACCCCAGUAUUUCUGGCCAGACUGCAAGGAGUAAGGAAGAGGUGAGGGGUAAGGUGAGGGGGGGGCUAUUAUAUAAGGACUUACCCAGGACCCCAGAUGGAUGGGCCAGCCCUUUCUUCCCUUGAGUAAGACCCCAGGAACCCACACAGCCCUUGGCCCAGCUUGGGGGCAGCAGGUUUCCGGGGAUCAGGUUCAAAUAUCACAUUGAGACCAGCUGCACCCCUGACCUUAGGGGCUCUGACUGUGUUGUAGACAGAAUGGAGCCGUGGCAGGCGAUCACCUGUUCCAAGGGGGCACCCACGUCCUCCUGCCGAGCUUCAGCCAGGAUGUUGCAGGGCACAUAGCCCGCCUGGCCACUGCGAUUUCGUAGCUUCCACCACUGCCGGCCGUCCUCCAGCACCUGCCAAGUGUCCAGAUGUCUGUGAGACUCACCAACAUCCUCGUGCAGACCUCAAGUACUAUUAGAGUCAGAUGCUGGGGACACUUGCCAAACCCUUCACAGAGGGCCAAAGCAUUGUCCAGGACCUCGUCCUUGAGCACAGAUAGCUCAUUGGCGUUUCGCGCUGUGAAAUCAUAGAGGAUCUUGACGUACUUGGUCAUGGCUGGUGUUGGCUGGUAGCCCCUGCAGGACCAGGAAGAGUUGAGACCCAGGGCUGGACGGAAGUCUCUUCCUGCUUCCCAGCUGCAGCUGCCUCCUGUUCUGCUGCCCAGGUUGCAGUGAAGAGAGGCUGUGCUUCUCAGCCGGGAGUGGAAACUGUGACACUCCAGCAGGCGGGGGGGGGGGGGGGGGCCCAGCUCAAACUAUCUUGGGGAGUCUCUUGCCCUGCUCCUCAGAGGGACUAGAGCAAGAGGUGUGCCUAGGGAGUGACAGGGUCACAUGUUCCCAGUUGACCACAGGGCUAGGGCUAGGAGAUUUUCAGUUACAGCCCCUUAGAGAUAUUAUGUGUCCUUUCUGGAAGUCCCCUUGCAUCUCUGGAGCAGGGGUGAGCUCUGGCUAAUGGUUUCCCCCCUAGCCAGGUCAUGUUCCUGGUCAGUGUGGCACUGGAGAGGGAGGAGGGGUGGGGGAUCCAGGUCUGUGCCCAGUGUAUUGAUAGGCUGAGAAUGUCCCAUACAUAUGAUCCCAGUAGGGACACUGGAUAGCAAGCUAAAGAAGCCCAAGGAGAGGGGUUCACUUUGAAAAGGAGCCGUAGGACCACCAGGUAGACCCUGGGUAGGAGUAAGAACCAGAGGAGGGGGAGGUAAGAGGGAUACCUCCAUGUCUUGGGCUUCUGUUUAACUCACGGGGAGUGUGGGAUGCUUAGUGUGUGUGUGGGGGAUAAUCAGAGCCCUUUGCUCUGAAUCCCCAACAGCACCAUAGUGGGUGGUGCUUGGAGGAGUCGCUGGUGGUGUUUGUUUCUUUCUUUCCUUUUUUCCUUCAGUGAGUUUCUAACCUUGAUUUUAAUUAAUUAAAAAUUUGACAUCGUCUCACUAUGCAGCCAUUGACUGCCUGAGACUCACAGAGAUCUGUCUGCCUCUGCCUCCUGAGUCCUGGAACCAAAGGUGUGGGCUUCCACAUCCAAUCUCUGUCCCUUUCUAACAUUGAUUAUGAAACAAGAAAGUAUAGAAAGAAGUAAUGUAGCCAGGCAACCAGCACUCAGAAGGCAGAGGCAGGCAGAUCUCUGAGUUCAAGGCCAGCAUGGUCUACAGAGUGAGUUCCAGGAAGGACAGCCAGAGGGCUACACAGAGAAACCCUGUCUCAAAAAAGAAAAAAAGAAAGAAAGGAAAGAAAGAAAGG